CUUGACCUCGGAUCAGGUAGGGAUACCCGCUGAACUUAAGCAUAUCAAUA
rnacentral:rRNA from 4 species